rnacentral:rRNA from 1 species
AUGCGGUAUGACGGUACCCUUUCGAAUAAGAGGUUGCUAACUCUGUGCCAGCAGCAGCGGUAAUACAGAGACCUCGAGCGUUAUCCGGAUUUACUGGGCGUAAAGCGUCUGUAGGGGGUUUGUUAAGUUCCAAGUAAAAUCUUAAGGCUCAACUUUAAGUUCGCUUGGAAAACUAAUAAACUGGAGUCCAGCAGAGGUGCAUGGAACUUGCGGUGUAGGAGUGAAAUCCGUUGAUAUCGCAAGGAACACCAAAGGCGAAGGCAUUGCACUGGGCUGGUACUGACCCUGAGAGACGAAAGCGUGGGGAGCAAAACGGAUUAGAUACCCGUGUAGUCCACGCCGUAAACGAUGGAUACUAGAUGUUCGGGGAUUCGACCCCCUGGGUGUCACAGCUAACGCGUUAAGUAUCCCGCCUGGGAAGUACGGCCGCAAGGCUAAAACUCAAAGGAAUAGACGGGGAUCCGCACAAGCGGUGGAGCGUCUGGUUUAAUUUGAUAGUAAGCAAUGGACCUCACCAAGGUUUGACAUCCUAUGACAACCCUGGAAACAGGGCUUCCUUCGGGCAUAGUGACAGGUGCUGCAUGGUCGUCGUCAGUUCGUGCCGUGAGGUGUUCCGUUAAGUCGGGAAACGAACGAAACCCUCGUCGCAUGUUACAAAUUUCAAGCGAAGACGGCCCGGUUCAACCGGGAGGAAGGCGGGGAUGACGUCAGAUCAGCAUGGCCCUUAUACAUUGGGCUACACAGGCGCUACAAUGGCCGGUACAAAGGGUUGCAAAACCGCGAGGUGAAGCUAGUCCCAUAAAGCCGGUCCAAGUUCGGAUUGGAGGCUGCAACUCGCCUCCAUGAAGUUGGAAUCGCUAGUAAUCGUGGAUCAGCCAUACCACGGUGAAUACGUUCCCGGAUCUUGUACUCACCGCCCGUCACACCAAGAGAGUUGGUAGCUCCUGAAGC